rnacentral:rRNA from 1 species
GACGAACGCUGGCGGCGUGCUUAACACAUGCAAGUCGAACGAGACGAUUGAAAGCUUGCUUUCGAAAGUCGAGUGGCAAACGGGUGAGUAACGCGUAGACAACCUGCCUUUGAGAUGGGGACAACAGUUCGAAAGGACUGCUAAUACCGAAUGAUGUGACUUUUCUGCAUGGAAGAGUUACCAAAGGCGGCCUCUAUUUAUAAGCUGUCACUGAGAGAUGGGUCUGCGUCUGAUUAGCUAGUUGGCGGGGUAAUGGCCCACCAAGGCGACGAUCAGUAGCCGGUCUGAGAGGAUGAACGGCCACAUUGGGACUGAGACACGGCCCAAACUCCUACGGGAGGCAGCAGUGGGGAAUCUUCCGCAAUGGACGAAAGUCUGACGGAGCAACGCCGCGUGAGUGAAGAAGGUUUUCGGAUCGUAAAGCUCUGUUGUUUGAGACGAACGUGCAAUUUUUGAAUAAGGAAUUGUAAUGACGGUAUUAAACGAGAAAGCCACGGCUAACUACGUGCCAGCAGCCGCGGUAA